UAGGUACUCCCUCCGUCAAGAAAUAUUUGUUCUCAAAAUGGAUAAAUUGGAUGUAUCUAUAACUAAAAUAAGUCUAGAUACAUCCGUUUUUGGACAAGUAUUUCUGGGCGGAGGGAGUAUUAG
rfam:Triticum aestivum genome assembly, contig: Triticum_aestivum_CS42_TGACv1_scaffold_157879_2DL